GAGGCGUCAUGCCAGAAGGAGCUUGGGGAGACAUGGGUUAAGAAGAAGAUAGGGGAAUGGCAGAAAGAGACAAUAAAUGAGUAUCGACAGAAGACAAGAAAUAAGUUCUGGCAAGGUUGGCUGGAAAAUGAGGAAGAGUGGGUGCAGUGUGACGCAGAACAGCUGAAGAAUAAGGGAGAGUGGUUGAAGAAUGAAGAAGAGGACUGGCUGAAGAAUAGUGAAGAGGAGCUGGAAAAUAAAGAAGAUGUGUGGAUCAAGACCACGGGAGAAGACUGGCCAAAGAUUGCUCACAUUCCUAAUAUCCGCGUGAAUGGAGAUAUCAUACAGAACCUUUAUCUCUGAAGCUGCAGCUUCACGAAAUCUGUGUAAAAGGUUUAUUUUGUUUCUUUCAAGAAGUGACAACUUUUAGGAAGCUGUACAAUGACACAUCCUGUGUCCACCGUGCAGCCGUGGAACCAACUCGGCACAUCCUUACUGCGACGCAGCUGCAUGACCAUUGUGAAGCGCCAUGCACGGUCUGAAGUAUGAUCUGGUGCAGUGGGCUUCAGACAACACCGUAGCCGGCAGUUUGGCUCAGUCUCCUCACCGGACUGCUAGGUGUGCAUCGCAUGUAUAUAACAUGUAAGCGUUGGUUUCUGUGAAGCAUUUGGAAUACGUCAGGGAAAUGUUCCAGGGCUUCUCUUCUUUCUGCCAGAAGACAGCUAGCCGAGGAACCAAUGGAGAACAUCGCCGCCGUGUCCAGGGCAUUGUGCGGAGUCGUGGUAACUGAACCGAUGCAGCGGCUUCAGAAUUCAGAGUAAUGAGUAAUGUAACUGGGGGCAGACCUCUGGUACUUUCUCCACCCGCUCAGCUUAUCACCGCUUCUUUAUGGGUGCCGUUGCCUUCGAGCCGCACAGACGAAUCUGGAAGACCCGGGCACCGGCGUGAGCCAAAUUCUUUAUCUGGCUGGCCACGCUCAACAGAUGCUGGACGGCAGACUGUCUUGCACAUCGUGGACUUCAGCAUCCCUCUUGUUGUCCUCUUUGUGACCAGGCGGAUGAAACGGUUCAACACCUGCUUGCAGUCUGUGUGUUCGCCAGAGAGAUCUAGUUCAAGGUACUACAACGUGUUGGCCUGCAGGUUCUGGCACCGGACGGUCAUGAGGCUACCUUCCAGGAAUGGUGGCGGAAAGCGCAACCCGGAGUUCCCAAUGGAGCUCGAAAGGGAUUCAACUCUUUUGUUAUCCUGGUGGCCUAGUACAUUUGGAAGCACCGCAACCGUUGUGUCUUCGAUGGCUUUCAACCGGAUUUGGUGUCCUUGUUGAGUGAUAUCUUUGAGGAGGCUAGUUGCUAGGGGACGUUGUUAGCGUGAGUGUUUGUCGGUGUCGCUAGAUAUGUUUGUGACGCGUAUGUACCUGCAUACUAACCCGGCCGUUGGUACGGUUCUUUAAUCGGAUAUUUUUCUUUCUUAAUAUAAUGAGACGUAGCUCUUCUGCGUGUUGUAGAAAAAAAAAAUGUAACUGGAGUAGUUGUUUUCUUGGUCAGACAUACAUGAUGCUUAUAU